CUUUUAAAGAUUUUAUUUAUUUGAGAGCGAGGGGGGAGCAUGAGCAGGGGGAGGGGCAGAGGGAGAGGGACAAGCAGGGGAGCCUGACACGGGGCUCGAUCUCAGGACCCCCCAGAUCAUGACCUGAGCCGAAGUCAGACUCUUAACCGACUGAGUUACCCAGGCACCCCAAGAAGUUUCUUUAGGAAUCAGUGCAUCUACGUCAUUUUGCCUGGUAGCCAGAGGCUGCUGGAGAAUGUGGAGCCCCUCAUCUCCUCUGGGAGCAGCCCUCUGCUGACGGUGGGUGUUGGUGAAUAAAUGCCCCGGCUCCCUGCCCUGCAGUUGGGACGAUUCUGAGUUAUGGGCUCUACAUGGACUGAGCAGAGUUUGCCACGGGAUUAGGCUCUGCUUGCCCACAGUGCCAACUUGCCUGUUAACACCAUUGAUUUCCACCUUCUCCAUUCUCCUGCUACUGCUUCCAGGAAUCAGCUCCCAAAACAAGCACAGUUGACCCUUGAACAACAUGGGGGGAUUAGGGGCAGUGGGAAAAUCCACAUAUAACUUUUGACUCCCCCAAAACUUAACUGCCAAUAGCCUACUGUUGACCAGAAGCCUUCCCGAGAACAUAAACAGUCAAUGAACACCUAUUUUGUAUGUGCUACGCAUUCUGUACUGUGUUUUUGCCAUAUCCACUGGAGAGAAGAAAACGUGGUUCAGAAAAUCAUAAGGAAAAUACAUUUCCAGUACCGUAGUGUAUUUGUUGGAAAAGAAUUCUCACGUAAGUGGACCUGUGCAUUUCCAACCCAUGUUGUUUGAGGGUUGACUGUACUUGUAUUUGUAUCUUGUCUUGGGAUCUGCUUCUGGGGGAACCCGAACCAGAUGUGAGGACAUGGCAUGUUGCAGUUGGGCCGGAGGUUCCUCAUCUGAUUUUCCUGCCAUUAAAUCUGGAGAAAGCAGAAUGAGCACUCAAACCUGCGCAAGCAAUUCUUUCUCCUCGACUUCUGCUCACCAUCUCCCUGCCCCCCGCCACCCCCACUUUACUUCUCUGCUGGACCAUUUUUUAGCGACUGUGGCUGCCAGACUUGGGAGAUGGAUGGGCUUGGGGAGCUGAAGGGUGCCUCGGAGGAGGACCAGGACCAGGCAGAGCCCCAGGACAGUAGGGAUUCCACAGCUGGGUGGUUCUAAGCCACCAGGUGCAUGAAAGGCCACGGGAUGCUGGUCCUACUGCUGCAUGGUGAGUUCCAAGGCCCGUUCCUUCUGACCCCCAGCAGACAGCUGCCAGUGGGUGCAGGGGUUGGGCAGCCCAUAGAAGAUUCUAGAAGAUGCAUGGAAACUGCAGGGCUUCUACCCAAGGAGCUUGGUCUUCAAGUGGCUUUUAUGAAAGCUGUACAUGGACACCAGUUUUGAUUAGGUUUCACUGAACUGUAAUUAUGGGGGAGGGAAUGAAGGAUGAGAGAAAACAGAACAGGUGGUGGGUUUGGCUUGUUUGCUUGUUUGUUGAAAAAGAGAAUUCCUGAGCCAAAUAUAUGAAAUAACCCUUUGGCGAUUUUCUUAUUCUAAUUUCAGAUAGGAAUUCAUUUUCUUAUUCUAAUUUCAGAUAUGAAUUCAUUGGUGUAAUCACCAAAAACUACAGUGGUCAUAUUACUUUAA
ensembl:lncRNA